GCACAGCGUGGAAAUAAUCUUAAAAAAAAAAACAAAAACAGAUCUAACUAUGGAUUCUAUCCUUUUCAUUCGUUUGGCCAGGAGAACUCUAACAAAGCAUGUUGCCUCUCCUGAAAGUGUGGAAUGGGCCAUUUGUGUGGUUUUUUCCUUCCCACUGU